rnacentral:rRNA from 1 species
GGUUAAGCGACUAAGCGUACACGGUGGAUGCCCUGGCAGUCAGAGGCGAUGAAGGACGUGCUAAUCUGCGAUAAGCGCCGGUAAGGUGAUAUGAACCGUUAUAACCGGCGAUUUCCGAAUGGGGAAACCCAGUGUGAUUCGUCACACUAUCAUUAACUGAAUCCAUAGGUUAAUGAGGCGAACCGGGGGAACUGAAACAUCUAAGUACCCCGAGGAAAAGAAAUCAACCGAGAUUCCCCCAGUAGCGGCGAGCGAACGGGGAGGAGCCCAGAGCCUGAAUCAGCAUGUGUGUUAGUGGAAGCGUCUGGAAAGGCGCGCGAUACAGGGUGACAGCCCCGUACACAAAAGCGCAUGUGCUGUGAGCUCGAUGAGUAGGGCGGGACACGUGGUAUCCUGUCUGAAUAUGGGGGGACCAUCCUCCAAGGCUAAAUACUCCUGACUGACCGAUAGUGAACCAGUACCGUGAGGGAAAGGCGAAAAGAACCCCGGCGAGGGGAGUGAAAAAGAACCUGAAACCGUGUACGUACAAGCAGUGGGAGCACCCUUUGGGGUGUGACUGCGUACCUUUUGUAUAAUGGGUCAGCGACUUAUAUUCUGUAGCAAGGUUAACCGUAUAGGGGAGCCGUAGGGAAACCGAGUCUUAACCGGGCGUUAAGUUGCAGGGUAUAGACCCGAAACCCGGUGAUCUAGCCAUGGGCAGGUUGAAGGUUGGGUAACACUAACUGGAGGACCGAACCGACUAAUGUUGAAAAAUUAGCGGAUGACCUGUGGCUGGGGGUGAAAGGCCAAUCAAACCGGGAGAUAGCUGGUUCUCCCCGAAAGCUAUUUAGGUAGCGCCUCGUGAAUUCAUCUCCGGGGGUAGAGCACUGUUUCGGCUAGGGGGCCAUCCCGGCUUACCAACCCGAUGCAAACUGCGAAUACCGGAGAAUGUUAUCACGGGAGACACACGGCGGGUGCUAACGUCCGUCGUGAAGAGGGAAACAACCCAGACCGCCAGCUAAGGUCCCAAAGUCAUGGUUAAGUGGGAAACGAUGUGGGAAGGCCCAGACAGCCAGGAUGUUGGCUUAGAAGCAGCCAUCAUUUAAAGAAAGCGUAAUAGCUCACUGGUCGAGUCGGCCUGCGCGGAAGAUGUAACGGGGCUAAACCAUGCACCGAAGCUGCGGCAGCGAACGUAUCACUUAAAGCGAUUCAGCGGGUUACGAUUGACGGAGCGAAGCGACGUCAAAGCGUAUACAAAGUCGAGUCGGUUUAAGGAUACGUUCGUUGGGUAGGGGAGCGUUCUGUAAGCCUGUGAAGGUGGCCUGUGAGGGUUGCUGGAGGUAUCAGAAGUGCGAAUGCUGACAUAAGUAACGAUAAAGCGGGUGAAAAGCCCGCUCGCCGGAAGACCAAGGGUUCCUGUCCAACGUUAAUCGGGGCAGGGUGAGUCGACCCCUAAGGCGAGGCCGAAAGGCGUAGUCGAUGGGAAACAGGUUAAUAUUCCUGUACUUGGUGUUACUGCGAAGGGGGGACGGAGAAGGCUAUGUUGGCCGGGCGACGGUUGUCCCGGUUUAAGCGUGUAGGCUGGUUUUCCAGGCAAAUCCGGAAAAUCAAGGCUGAGGCGUGAUGACGAGGCACUACGGUGCUGAAGCAACAAAUGCCCUGCUUCCAGGAAAAGCCUCUAAGCAUCAGGUAACAUCAAAUCGUACCCCAAACCGACACAGGUGGUCAGGUAGAGAAUACCAAGGCGCUUGAGAGAACUCGGGUGAAGGAACUAGGCAAAAUGGUGCCGUAACUUCGGGAGAAGGCACGCUGACACGUAGGUGAAGUGAUUUACUCACGGAGCUGAAGUCAGUCGAAGAUACCAGCUGGCUGCAACUGUUUAUUAAAAACACAGCACUGUGCAAACACGAAAGUGGACGUAUACGGUGUGACGCCUGCCCGGUGCCGGAAGGUUAAUUGAUGGGGUCAGCGCAAGCGAAGCUCCUGAUCGAAGCCCCGGUAAACGGCGGCCGUAACUAUAACGGUCCUAAGGUAGCGAAAUUCCUUGUCGGGUAAGUUCCGACCUGCACGAAUGGCGUAAUGAUGGCCAGGCUGUCUCCACCCGAGACUCAGUGAAAUUGAACUCGCUGUGAAGAUGCAGUGUACCCGCGGCAAGACGGAAAGACCCCGUGAACCUUUACUAUAGCUUGACACUGAACAUUGAGCCUUGAUGUGUAGGAUAGGUGGGAGGCUUUGAAGCGUGGACGCCAGUCUGCGUGGAGCCGACCUUGAAAUACCACCCUUUAAUGUUUGAUGUUCUAACGUGGACCCGUGAUCCGGGUUGCGGACAGUGUCUGGUGGGUAGUUUGACUGGGGCGGUCUCCUCCUAAAGAGUAACGGAGGAGCACGAAGGUUGGCUAAUCCUGGUCGGACAUCAGGAGGUUAGUGCAAUGGCAUAAGCCAGCUUGACUGCGAGCGUGACGGCGCGAGCAGGUGCGAAAGCAGGUCAUAGUGAUCCGGUGGUUCUGAAUGGAAGGGCCAUCGCUCAACGGAUAAAAGGUACUCCGGGGAUAACAGGCUGAUACCGCCCAAGAGUUCAUAUCGACGGCGGUGUUUGGCACCUCGAUGUCGGCUCAUCACAUCCUGGGGCUGAAGUAGGUCCCAAGGGUAUGGCUGUUCGCCAUUUAAAGUGGUACGCGAGCUGGGUUUAGAACGUCGUGAGACAGUUCGGUCCCUAUCUGCCGUGGGCGCUGGAGAACUGAGGGGGGCUGCUCCUAGUACGAGAGGACCGGAGUGGACGCAUCACUGGUGUUCGGGUUGUCAUGCCAAUGGCACUGCCCGGUAGCUAAAUGCGGAAGAGAUAAGUGCUGAAAGCAUCUAAGCACGAAACUUGCCCCGAGAUGAGUUCUCCCUGAGACUUUAGGUCUCCUGAAGGAACGUUGAAGACGACGACGUUGAUAGGCCGGGUGUGUAAGCGCAGCGAUGCGUUGAGCUAACCGGUACUAAUGAACCGUGAGGCUUAACCUU